AAAUUGAAGAGUUUGAUCAUGGCUCAGAUUGAACGCUGGCGGCAGGCCUAACACAUGCAAGUCGAACGGUAACAGGAAACAGCUUGCUGUUUCGCUGACGAGUGGCGGACGGGUGAGUAAUGUCUGGGAAACUGCCCGAUGGAGGGGGAUAACUACUGGAAACGGUAGCUAAUACCGCAUAACGUCGCAAGACCAAAGAGGGGGACCUUAGGGCCUCUUGCCAUCGGAUGUGCCCAGAUGGGAUUAGCUAGUAGGUGGGGUAAAGGCUCACCUAGGCGACGAUCCCUAGCUGGUCUGAGAGGAUGACCAGCCACACUGGAACUGAGACACGGUCCAGACUCCUACGGGAGGCAGCAGUGGGGAAUAUUGCACAAUGGGCGCAAGCCUGAUGCAGCCAUGCCGCGUGUAUGAAGAAGGCCUUCGGGUUGUAAAGUACUUUCAGCGGGGAGGAAGGGAGUAAAGUUAAUACCUUUGCUCAUUGACGUUACCCGCAGAAGAAGCACCGGCUAACUCCGUGCCAGCAGCCGCGGUAAUACGGAGGGUGCAAGCGUUAAUCGGAAUUACUGGGCGUAAAGCGCACGCAGGCGGUUUGUUAAGUCAGAUGUGAAAUCCCCGGGCUCAACCUGGGAACUGCAUCUGAUACUGGCAAGCUUGAGUCUCGUAGAGGGGGGUAGAAUUCCAGGUGUAGCGGUGAAAUGC
rnacentral:rRNA from 1 species